rnacentral:tRNA from 1 species
GUUUAAAUAAAACAUUACAUUUUCAUUGUAAAAAUAAAAUAAAUAAUUUUUAUAUAUAAUUUA